AUUGAACGCUGGCGGCAGGCCUAACACAUGCAAGUCGAGCGGCAGCGCGGGGCAACCUGGCGGCGAGCGGCGAACGGGUGAGUAACGCGUAGGAAUCUACCCAGUAGCGGGGGAUAGCCCGGGGGAAACUCGGAUUAAUACCGCAUACGCCCUAAGGGGGAAAGCAGGGGAUCGUAAGACCUUGCACUAUUGGAAGAGCC
rnacentral:rRNA from 1 species